rnacentral:piRNA from 1 species
UACACAACCAAUGUGGUGGCCAGUGGUAC